rnacentral:rRNA from 1 species
CACGGGGGGAGCAAGCGUUGUUCGGAAUCACUGGGCGUAAAGGGCGUGCAGGCGGUCAGGGAAGUGAGAUGUGAAAUGCCCCGGCUCACCCGGGGACCGGCAUCUCAUACUGCUUGGCUUGAGUACGGGAGAGGAUGUGGGAAUUCCUGGUGUAGCGGUGAAAUGCGUAGAUAUCAGGAGGAACACCGGUGGCGAAGGCGCACAUCUGGCCCGAUACUGACGCUGAGGCGCGAAAGCUAGGGGAGCAAACGGG